GACGAACGCUGGCGGCGUGCUUAACACAUGCAAGUCGAACGGCAAGGCCCUGCUUUUGUGGGGUGCUCGAGUGGCGAACGGGUGAGUAACACGUGAGUAACCUGCCCUUGACUUUGGGAUAACUUCAGGAAACUGGGGCUAAUACCGGAUAGGAGCUCCUGCUGCAUGGUGGGGGUUGGAAAGUUUCGGCGGUUGGGGAUGGACUCGCGGCUUAUCAGCUUGUUGGUGGGGUAGUGGCUUACCAAGGCUUUGACGGGUAGCCGGCCUGUGAGGGUGACCGGCCACAUUGGGACUGAGGGACGGCCCAGACUCCUACGGGAGGCAGCAGUGGGGAAUAUUGCACAAUGGGCGGAAGCCUGAUGCAGCAACGCCGCGUGCGGGAUGACGGCCUUCGGGUUGUAAACCGCAUUCGCCUGUGACGAAGCGUGAGUGACGGUAAUGGGUAAAGAAGCACCGGCUAACUACGUG
rnacentral:rRNA from 1 species